GAUGUAGGUGCCAUCGACGUAUAUGACAGAGAUGGCGGCAAAGACAUAGACAAAGGAAAGUUGAGAGCAGAGAGAAAAAAAAUUGGAUACAGCUGAAACAGAAAAAAGUGAAUGGUUUGAAAGUUUGUUAAUUGUAGUCAUAGACUCGUGGGUCUAAACUAGACAUGUUCUAUUUGAGCCAUGUCUUCUUCUUAUUCUUCGGCUGCUUCGUCUUCGUCCUUUGGAUCAAGAAUGGAUGAGAGCAUGAAGAAAACGGUGACUGAGAGACCGUCAUUGAUUACUUAAAAAAUUGGUGCUCGUAUGUUUCACUUCUCAUCAAUAUAUCUAAAAUUUUCAUUGUUUUGCGUAACCCUAUAAUGUGUUUGUUAAGUAUCCUUGUAAUCUUUGUUGUUAUAAGCUUAGUCUGGUUAAUUGAUUAACUUAUGAUAAUAUCAAAACUUCUCAUCUCCUAUGUGUCUUAUCUCCUUAUGUUGAUGAAGUGUAAUGGAUUUUGUCAAGCACUGAACAUAUACACAUGUAUGCUAUCACAUUUGUUGUCCACAUGGACGCUACACUUUUGUGUCCACAUGUACGCUUGAAUUAUGUGUCCACAUGGAUGCUACAAUCUCAUGAAUAUAUCUAGAAUUGUCAUUGUUUUGUGUAAUUCUAAAAUGAGCUUGUUGUUAUACGCUUAGUUCGGUUAAUUGAUAAAAUUAUGAUAAUAUCUACACUUCUCGUCUCUUAUGUGUCUUAUCUCCUUAUGUUGAUGAAGUGUAAUGAAUUUUGUCAAGCACCAUGUACACAUGUAUGUUAUCACAAUUGUUGUACACAUGGAUGCUACAGUUAUUUGUGUACAUAUGUUUGUUUGUUAUCCACAUGUACACAAAAGUUAUAAGAUGUUAACUAUUAGUAAUGAAAAAUAAAUUCAUACAAUAUGUUUGUUGUUCAUAGUGGUGCAAUUUUACUGGAAAAUAAAUUCAUAUACUUUAAUCAUUUUUAAAUUAGCUAGCUAAAAAAAUGCACAGUAUAAGUAAGAAAAAGAAUAGCCAAUUGAUCCGCCUUUUCUUGACAAUCUUGCUUUCUCUGAUUGUCCAAAUGUUUCUUAUUGGAUGUGUACAUCAAACUUAUAUUUUACAUGUGUACAUGAAACUCAUAUCGUACAUGUGUACAUGAAACUCAUAUCGUACAUGUGUACACAAAAGUCGUAUUGUACACAUGUACAUCAAACUCAUAUUGUAUACAUGUUGCUAAGUGUACACAUCGCUCUCUUGGACUGGCCCGAGAAAGAACUCCACCUCCAUAACAUGCUCUUGCUUCCACUGCCGUUGAGCUGAGGCGAGUUCGUCGUCAACAACCUCACACUCAACUUCCACACCUCAGCUACUAUUUUCAUCAGUGCUUUUAGGGAAAGGUCCGACGAGAUAUAAGGUCGGUGUAAGUGACAGAGGAGAAACCUCCACAUUAAAAUCAGCCGGAGACGAUGAUGUGUCCUCCGUAUAUUCUGUGAGGCGCUCGAUGUUGUUAAUUAUGCAAGGGAGAUGUUGUCGGCCUUUGUGGUCGAUGCCCCACCGUUGCAACAACCGCCAUCACAACCCAAUAAACAUCAUCUUCCACCACACCUUCUUCUCUCCUCUCAUUAUUAUAUGCAUUUCUUCUAUUUUUUCACUCUCAUAUUUUCUCUGUUAUCAUAUCUUCAACGAGAAUCCUAAAUCUCAGUCUCACGAUUAGAGAGAGAGAGAGAGAGAGAGAGAGAGAGAGAGAGAGUUGGAGUGAAGCUUAAUAAUAUCUUUUUUAUGUGUGGCUGAGACUAAAUCAAUCAAAUAAUUUGUUCUUUGUGUGGCUGUGUUUAAAUGUAAUAAAUUAAUAAAGUAUGAUAUAGAUAUUUUGAAUUUAUAUUCAACGCACGUGACAAAAAGAAAAAAAUGGUUUAGUUUGUUGAAAUUGGGGGUAAUUGUGUAAACAAUCAACAAGAAACUACCCUAGUAACUGUAACUGUCUUAGACUGUAAUAAAAAACAUAAAACUGACCAUGAGUGUAAAUCAUGCUUCAUUUUGGUCUCCGCUCACAAAGAGUUUCGAGCGGACGAUGACGCUGCUUCUUCUUGCUUCACGGCGACGGUGAGAUUCCUGGUGGUUUAAGUCGGUGUUUAUGGUUUCAAGAAGUAGAUCGCUUUUCAAUUGGUUAGAUUUGGUUUUGGGCUUUGCUGCGCGUGGUGGAAGUGAGAAGGUUAUUAGAGACAUGCUGGUCAGAUUGCGGUGGUGACUUCAAGCCAAGUCUCUUGCUUCACUUUCGGUGGUGAAUGCGCGAGUGCACAUUUCGAGUUUCUUGGCGUCUUUACCCAGGUGAAGUCUCUCUCUCUCUUCUCUCGUCAAGUGAAGAUUACAAGCUUAGAUGAGUUUACCAGAAGCCAUAUACUCUGGAAGCGACACUUGAAGCCUCGAUAUCCAAGGAAAGGAGGUGAAUCUCACCUUUAUGUAGUGUCUGUCAAAGGUUGAGAACGGUAAAACGAUACUCGGUUUUAGUUUUGGUCUAGAGGAACGCGUCGGGUGAUAGGUUGAGCAAAGCUAGUUGGGAGUUUAAAAAAAGUUGGGUAAUUUGUUCGAAUCUGCUUGUAGUCUAAAACUUAAUCCCGUUUUCAUGUUGAAUUAAAAAAAAGUCGAAGAGAAUAAAUUAUACUGCUAAAAUAAAAAUCAA